UGCGGAGGGAGCUAGCGUUAUUCGGAAUUACUGGGCGUAAAGCGCACGUAGGCGGCUUUGUAAGUAAGAGGUGAAAGCCCAGAGCUCAACUCUGGAAUUGCCUUUUAGACUGCAUCGCUUUGAAUCAUGGAGAGGUCAGUGGAAUUCCGAGUGUAGAGGUGAAAUUCGUAGAUAUUCGGAAGAACACCAGUGGCGAAGGCGGCUGACUGGACAUGUAUUGACGCUGAGGUGCGAAAGCGUGGGGAGCAAACAGGAUUGAGAAACCCU
rnacentral:rRNA from 1 species